rnacentral:rRNA from 1 species
UCCACGCCGUAAACGAUGUCAACUAGCCGUUGGGAGACUUGAUCUCUUAGUGGCGCAGCUAACGCACUAAGUUGACCGCCUGGGGAGUACGGCCGCAAGGUUAAAACUCAAAUGAAUUGACGGGGGCCCGCACAAGCGGUGGAGCAUGUGGUUUAAUUCGAUGCAACGCGAAGAACCUUACCAGGUCUUGACAUCCUGAGAAUCCUGUAGAGAUACGGGAGUGCCUUCGGGAA